CCCACCUGGGGAGUACGUUCGCAAGAAUGAAACUCAAAGGAAUUGACGGGGGCCCGCACAAGCGGUGGAGCAUGUGGUUUAAUUCGAUGAUACGCGAGGAACCUUACCAGGGCUUAAAUGCAUAUUGACAGGGUCAGAGAUGACUUUUCCUUCGGGCAAUUUGCAAGGUGCUGCAUGGUUGUCGUCAGCUCGUGCCGUGAGGUGUCAGGUUAAGUCCUAUAACGAGCGCAACCCCUACCGUUAGUUGCCAGCAUGUCAUGAUGGGGACUCUAACGGGACUGCCGGUGCAAACCGUGAGGAAGGUGGGGAUGACGUCAAAUCAUCACGGCCCUUACGUCCUGGGCCACACACGUGCUACAAUGGCAGGUACAGAGAGCAGCCACGUCGCAAGGCGGAGCGAAUCUAUAAAACCUGUCACAGUUCGGAUCGGGGUCUGCAACUCGACCCCGUGAAGCUGGAAUCGCUAGUAAUCGGAUAUCAGCCAUGAUCCGGUGAAUACGUUCCCGGGCCUUGCACA
rnacentral:rRNA from 1 species